rnacentral:rRNA from 1 species
AAGCUUGAGUUUGAUCCUGGCUCAGGAUGAACGCUAGCGGCAGGCUUAAUACAUGCAAGUCGAACGGGAAUUGGGUAGCAAUACCUGAUGAUAGUGGCGCACGGGUGCGUAACGCGUAUGCAACCUACCUUUAACAGGGGGAUAGCCCGGAGAAAUUCGGAUUAAUACCCCAUAGUAUUAUGGAGAGGCAUCUUUUCAUGAUUAAAGUUCCGGCGGUUAAAGAUGGGCAUGCGUGCCAUUAGCUAGUUGGUGAGGUAACGGCUCACCAAGGCGACGAUGGUUAGGGGUCCUGAGAGGGUUAUCCCCCACACUGGUACUGAGACACGGACCAGACUCCUACGGGAGGCAGCAGUAAGGAAUAUUGGUCAAUGGGCGGAAGCCUGAACCAGCCAUGCCGCGUGCAGGAAGACGGCCUUAUGGGUUGUAAACUGCUUUUGUCAGGGAAUAAACCCUCGUUUGCGAACGAGGCUGAAGGUACCUGAAGAAUAAGCAUCGGCUAACUCCGUGCCAGCAGCCGCGGUAAUACGGAGGAUGCGAGCGUUAUCCGGAUUCAUUGGGUUUAAAGGGUGCGCAGGCGGGCGUAUAAGUCAGGGGUGAAAUGCCACGGCUCAACCGUGGAACUGCCUUUGAUACUGUAUGUCUUGAGUUUAGUUGAAGUGGGCGGAAUGUAGCAUGUAGCGGUGAAAUGCAUAGAGAUGCUACAGAACACCGAUAGCGAAGGCAGCUCACUAAGUUAAGACUA